AUCGUCGUGAAAAGGGCAUUUGACCCUCCCAUAAUAUUCAACCGGCAGCUGAAAUGUAACAUCAUUCUUGCGUUUUUGUGGAUAUGAAACAUCCAAAGAGUGUAUUUACUAUGCUGAAUAUAUGUGAUGUUAUCUUUGGUCGUGUGAACACAAUAUUAGUAUUGUUGUUAUUUAAAAAUAACGAUAUAAUCAGGAGGGUCCUGUCAAGUUUUUUAGCAAGAGGAGGCAAUGGUUGCAAUCCAAUUGUGGGUUAUUUUUCAAAAUUGGACCGGCACACAAAUGCAUCGCCGGGAACUUUACCGUCCAUUGCAAAGCAGAUGACGCUUAUAUUUUAGUUGUUUGGUUAAUAAUCCCCCGUGGACCUCUGCAACAAGAGGCAAAAGCGCUAGAGCAAGGCCGCGUCACCGUUGGUGUAUCGAAUUGUGUGUUUGUUUGGUUUUGGCUCGUGUGUGUAUAUUUGUUUCUUAAUGUCAGCUUGAAAGUUUCAACCAAAAAAAAUAUUGAACCUAUAAACAACCUCCACGCUGUGAGGAGGCCUUCAGCCAGCAGUGGACUGAUAAGGAGCUCUAAAGAUACAUUAUAUACACAACAUUCAUGAAAAUAACCUAAUAGCAUUUGUCUAUUACAUUGAAUAUUUAGUAACUUGUGUUUUUUCUUAUUACCUGGAAUGCCUGAUCUCAUCAGAUCUCGGAAAACAAACAAGGUUAAGCCUGUAUGUAUGUAUCUAUAUUGAACUUCUUUAACACCGUACGUAGCUAAUCAUGCUAAUCAGAGGUGCAGGGGAAGGACAACAAAAAUCCUGGAUAUUCUAAUUCUGAUUCUGAGCUGUUAUAGCAGGUGUGGAAGUUAUGUUGUGGGCAGUAGAGGUGUUGUUGGACUGUACUUCUGUUCCCAUAUCCAUACUCCUAGCCUUCACCAAUGCACACUGAGAAGAAUGGAGAAAUCUGGCCAAAUUACAUACAUGGCUUGUGGAGUUAUUUGCUCCAAUUUAUCUUUGCAGCAUUUUGUAUGUCUCCUUCAUUAUUGCCAGGAAUUCAGCUGGUGAAAGGAUAAUUCCAACUUUCUUUGGACAAUCUGAAAGGUCUUAAACAAACGUCUAAAGAGACAUUGUGAAUGUGUAAUGAAAAUAAAGAAUACAAUUAGCAUUACAUUUUUUUUAAUAAAACUUGGCGAAGCUGGAUUGAAUAUUAUUAUAUUAAAUUAAACAUUCAACUAAAUCUGACAGCACUGCACAUAAAAAAAAUCCCUGAGGGUCAGACUGUCCAACCAUCCAAAGCAAUCUGCUUGCUCUGCGUGUAUAAACUCUGUUAUGAGCAUUCCACACGUCCAUCGACUAGCCAUAUUUUCCUAGUUUCUCGUUCCUAAUUUAAUUAAAACCUUUGAGGUUUACAUUCUGUUAAAUGUCUUCCUGAAUUAUAUUGGUUAAAUUGGUCACACCUAACCUGAUUCAAUUACAGGGCUGGAUUUAGAAUGCGUGACAAAAGGCAAUGCUGACCAAAUGAGAUCUCAAAGACAGAUAGGAGUAAUAAAGCGAACGGAAUGAACACAGUGCACUCGCACAGCAGAAAUGAAGGUAAUAAAAUACAAAAGCAACAGCCGUAUCGGCUGCUUUUCCAGUUGGAGCAGUGGAGUUAAGCACAGGACAUUAAAGGUUUUCAAGGCCCCAGCACGAACAGCAGGGGGAGACAAUCACCGGUUCCUUUGCAAAGGUCUUCUGAUCUUUACCUUGAAACCAAAAUUAGCAUUUUAAGAUGCAGUGAUGAAACGAUGUCUCGUGCUGACAAAAUCAUUCAAGCAAUACUCAUUAUUUACAAGUGAGCAAGAUCUUACGGUUUAAAGAAAAUUACUUUAACUUGUGCUUUAGUCAGAUAUCAGAUGUCUUGUGCGGCCAGACAUUGUAUUGAUGAUCUAUACAGCAUUGGGAUUUUAGUCAGCACUCUGGCCUUAAUGCCAUCUAUUUUCUGAU